rnacentral:rRNA from 1 species
UCUGACGGAGCACGCCGCGUGAGUGAUGAAGGUUUUCGGAUCGUAAAGCUCUGUUGUUAGGGAAGAACAAGUGCAAGAGUAACUGCUUGCACCUUGACGGUACCUAACCAGAAAGCCACGGCUAACUACGUGCCAGCAGCCGCGGUAAUACGUAGGUGGCAAGCGUUGUCCGGAAUUAUUGGGCGUAAAGGGCUCGCAGGCGGUUUCUUAAGUCUGAUGUGAAAGCCCCCGGCUCAACCGGGGAGGGUCAUUGGAAACUGGGAAACUUGAGUGCAGAAGAGGAGAGUGGAAUUCCACGUGUAGCGGUGAAAUGCGUAGAGAUGUGGAGGAACACCAGUGGCGAAGGCGACUCUCUGGUCUGUAACUGACGCUGAGGAGCGAAAGCGUGGGGAGCGAACAGGAUUAGAUACCCUGGUAGUCCACGCCGUAAACGAUGAGUGCUAAGUGUUAGGGGGUUUCCGCCCCUUAGUGCUGCAGCUAACGCAUUAAGCACUCCGCCUGGGGAGUACGGUCGCAAGACUGAAACUCAAAGGAAUUGACGGGGGCCCGCACAAGCGGUGGAGCAUGUGGUUUAAUUCGAAGCAACGCGAAGAACCUUACCAGGUCUUGACAUCCUCUGACAACCCUAGAGAU